CAACUUGUUUACUGUUCAACACGUAUUCUCUGACUUGUCUCAAAGGAAGAUUUUUCGAAGUUUUUUUCUUUCCUAAAUGGCUGCAAAUUCAACAACUGAAUCAGCUUGCUGUUCUGGCGUUAAAGCGAAGAAACCUGACUCGGAAAUCUGUAAAUAUAAGGCUUAAGUGGAAGAAGUGCUGCACUUCCUAAAAUCAGGAUACCAGGAAUCUACUCAUUUUGCCACUCUUGACUAAGUCGCAAGGAAAAAAUAUCCACAUGCUGUCUCAAUUCUCGAGAAACUUUGAAUAUGAAGUGCUGUUGGGAGAAAUACAAGUGUGUGCAAAAUUUGCAAGAAAGAUGAUGGUGAAGACUGGCUUGGGUGUGACCGGUGCUAUCAAUUCUUUCACGCCAGUUGCAGAAGUGUAGACUUCGCAACAGCACUUUCAGGAAAAUUUUAUUGCUAAUGUGCAGCUAGGUGAAGUGAUGCAAGGUGCAGAUG